GCUACAGCUCAGUGGUAGAGCACAUGCCUAGUGUGCAUGAAGCCAUGGGUUCAAUCCCUAGCA
rnacentral:tRNA from 1 species